UAAGAAGGUGAACUGGGUAUUGUUGCUUGCUCCUUUCCCCAGUGUGGCCAUUUUGAAUAAACAUCCUUUCUCUGCUUUUGGUUUCUUCCCUUCCCUUGUGUGACGGUGGACAGCUGACCACACCUAGCUUGUUAGGGCUGCCAGGUCCUGAGGCUUCGACCCUUAAAAUUCUCACUGACUGCUCUUCUGAAGGUCCUGAGUUCAAAUCCCAGCAACUAUCUGGUGGCUCACAACCAUCCGUGAUGAGAUCUGAUGCCCUCUUCCGGUGUGUCUGAAGACAGGUACAGCGUACAUACGUAUAAUAAAUCUUUGGGCGAGCAGAGGUCCUAAAAAUUCAAUUCCCAACAACCACAUGAAGGCUCACCACCAUCUGUACAGCUACAGUGUACUCACAUAAGAUAAAUAAAUAAAUCUUUAAAAAAGGACAAUUGCCAAAAAAAAAAAAAAAAGAAUUUUAAGGGUCGAAGCCUCAACAAGCUAGGCGUGGUCAGCUGUCCACUGUCACACAAGGGAAGAGAAGAAACUGAAACCAGAGAAAGGAUAUUUAUUCAGUGGCCACACUGGGGAAGGGAGCAAGCAAGGAUGCUCAGUUCAUCUUUGGAUUGUUACUGUGCAGUUUAGGCUAAAACAGGGCAGGAGGAUCCCUGCUCAGGGUAUGUCCCCUGCCAUUUGGUCCAUUGUUGUCUUGGCUCUAGUCUGUCUUACAAGGUGGCCAGUCCAAUUGUGAAACUUGUUCCUGGGAUACAAGUUCUUCCUCUGGCUGGCCCGGGCUUCACAGCCCUCCUAAGGUAAGAAUUCAGGAGAAAGUCCAUUUCUUUGGGAUCUAUUAUCUCCACAGUCGGAUAGUCAAAGGGAAGGACUCGAAUGUCUCCUUGGGAUACCCUCACUCCUUCCACAGAUUCGAGGGAGCGUCGGUCAAAUCUUUGUUGCCUUUGGACAGCUGGGCUGCAGUUUUCAACAUCGCUGCAGUGAACAUUCACACCCACAGAUAUCCUCACAUGACUUCAAGGACAACUGUGGGAAAACAUUUUGUAUAUUGCUUUGUCAAAAAUAUGAACGUGGUACUGGCGGAGAUGGCUCUGUGGGUAAGGGUACCUGCUCCAGGCACUCGAGCACGCUCGUACACGUGCUCGUACACCGAGGUUACCCAUCACAGGUUAUUUCUUGAGCUGCUUGUAAUCCACUAAAAGGAUGCAUAGGAAGGGUGCCUAGGAUACGUUACUGUACAGAUAGAGCCAGCCAGACCUAGACAGACAUUCUUCUUCGCAAGCACUGUACUUGUUGCUAGUACAGUUGCUAGGACUCCCUCCCUUGUCAAUCAUAAUUUGACCCAAUCAAAGGGGGUAGAGAGUGCCCGCCCAGUCCUGGGACCUGUCUAGGACUGGGGACCCAGUCCGUCUGCAAGUUACCUUCGGCCGUUCGCCAACCAGAAUGGUUUUUAAGGAUGCAAGCAAAGCCAAAUCCUGUUUCCUUAUCAUACUAUUGACAGUUUGGUUCUUGGAGCUUGAAGACCCCAAACUUAGAGUUGUCAGUUGUAAACCAGGCCUCCCUUUGCUUUGGUUCGCUUGCGGAACAGUUCUGAGUGCUGGGGGAAGCCUGUUUCCUUUCACACAGGGUGCUAAUGAACAGUGAGAUCAGGGGUCCCCUAAGCCCGUCAGAAAACAGAUAUUACAUUAUGAUUCACAACAGUAGCAAACUUACAGUUAUGAAGUAGCAACGAAAAUGAUUUUGUGCUGGGGGUGGGGAGGGGUGGGCGGGUCACCGCAGCCUGGAGGACUGUAAGCAAAGGUGGAGGCUGUUAGAAGGCUGCUACACUGAGCUGGUUGGGGGCAGGUGUUCAGGGGAUGGAGGCCUCUCCCCUCUGGAUGCACCACUCACUCAGAGCCACCCCCAGAGCCCUGCCCUAUUGGGUUUUUUUUGCAGGCUUUAUUAUGUAUAGUCAAAAACAAAAUUACAAUGAUUUAGUUACAGGUGUAACUGCCUUUAGUUUGAGAUUCCUGAAUGAGAACCCCUCCCCUCCCACUCCCCUGGGCAGUGCUGAACAGUGGGGUUUGUGAGGUGGGAACAAGGAAACAGAAAAACAAAAAACCCCCGUUAGCAUCAUCGGGUAAGCCAGAUUUUUUUUUUUUUUUGCUGGGGUGGAUGUGGAGAACACUUCCUUAUGGAGAUGACUGGAGGAGGCCGAAGGGGAAAACUGGUCUGUCAGGGAAACUGCCUUCUUUAACAUUAGAGUUAAGAGGAGUGACUCUAGUCUGGUUUGAUCUGGUAUGGAGAGGAGGGACCCUCAAGUCACCUUUGUCC
rnacentral:lncRNA from 1 species